AGAGUUUGAUCCUGGCUCAGAUUGAACGCUGGCGGCAGGCCUAACACAUGCAAGUCGAACGGUAACAGGAAGCAGCUUGCUGCUUUGCUGACGAGUGGCGGACGGGUGAGUAAUGUCUGGGAAACUGCCUGAUGGAGGGGGAUAACUACUGGAAACGGUGGCUAAUACCGCAUAACGUCGCAAGACCAAAGAGGGGGACCUUCGGGCCUCUUGCCAUCAGAUGUGCCCAGAUGGGAUUAGCUUGUUGGUGAGGUAACGGCUCACCAAGGCGACGAUCCCUAGCUGGUCUGAGAGGAUGACCAGCCACACUGGAACUGAGACACGGUCCAGACUCCUACGGGAGGCAGCAGUGGGGGAUAUUGCACAAUGGGCGCAAGCCUGAUGCAGCCAUGCCGCGUGUAUGAAGAAGGCCUUCGGGUUGUAAAGUACUUUCAGCGGGGAGGAAGGUGUUGUGGUUAAUAACCGCAGCAAUUGACGUUACCCGCAGAAGAAGCACCGGCUAACUCCGUGCCAGCAGCCGCGGUAAUACGGAGGGUGCAAGCGUUAAUCGGAAUUACUGGGCGUAAAGCGCACGCAGGCGGUCUGUCAAGUCGGAUGUGAAAUCCCCGGGCUCAACCUGGGAACUGCAUUCGAAACUGGCAGGCUUGAGUCUUGUAGAGGGGGGUAGAAUUCCAGGUGUAGCGGUGAAAUGCGUAGAGAUCUGGAGGAAUACCGGUGGCGAAGGCGGCCCCCUGGACAAAGACUGACGCUCAGGUGCGAAAGCGUGGGGAGCAAACAGGAUUAGAUACCCUGGUAGUCCACGCCGUAAACGAUGUCUACUUGGAGGUUGUGCCCUUGAGGCGUGGCUUCCGGAGCUAACGCGUUAAGUAGACCGCCUGGGGAGUACGGCCGCAAGGUUAAAACUCAAAUGAAUUGACGGGGGCCCGCACAAGCGGUGGAGCAUGUGGUUUAAUUCGAUGCAACGCGAAGAACCUUACCUGGUCUUGACAUCCACAGAACUUUCCAGAGAUGGAUUGGUGCCUUCGGGAACUGUGAGACAGGUGCUGCAUGGCUGUCGUCAGCUCGUGUUGUGAAAUGUUGGGUUAAGUCCCGCAACGAGCGCAACCCUUAUCCUUUGUUGCCAGCGGUCCGGCCGGGAACUCAAAGGAGACUGCCAGUGAUAAACUGGAGGAAGGUGGGGAUGACGUCAAGUCAUCAUGGCCCUUACGACCAGGGCUACACACGUGCUACAAUGGCGCAUACAAAGAGAAGCGACCUCGCGAGAGCAAGCGGACCUCAUAAAGUGCGUCGUAGUCCGGAUUGGAGUCUGCAACUCGACUCCAUGAAGUCGGAAUCGCUAGUAAUCGUGGAUCAGAAUGCCACGGUGAAUACGUUCCCGGGCCUUGUACACACCGCCCGUCACACCAUGGGAGUGGGUUGCAAAAGAAGUAGGUAGCUUAACCUUCGGGAGGGCGCUUACCACUUUGUGAUUCAUGACUGGGGUGAAGUCGUAACAAGGUAACC
rnacentral:rRNA from 1 species